CGUGGAGUAGAGCAGUCCGGUAGCUCGCCAGCCUCAUAAGCUGGAGGCCGUGAGUUCAAAUCUCACCUCCGCAACCA
rnacentral:tRNA from 5 species